CACGCUGUAAACGAUGAGUACUAGGUGUCGGGGGUUACCCCCUUCGGUGCCGCAGCUAACGCAUUAAGUCCUCCGCCUGGGAAGUACGCUCGCAAGAGUGAAACUCAAAGGAAUUGACGGGGCCCCGCACAAGUAGCGGAGCAUGUGGUUUAAUUCGAAGCAACGCGAAGAACCUUACCUAAGCUUGACAUCCCAAUGACAUCUCCUUAAUCGGAGAG
rnacentral:rRNA from 1 species